rnacentral:rRNA from 1 species
CAGCCGCCGCGGUAAUACCGGCGGCCCGAGUGGCGGUCACUAUUAUUUGGCUUAAAACGUCCGUAGCCGGGUUGGGAAGUCCUCCGGGAAAUCUGGCCGCUUAACGGUCAGAAUGCCGGAGGAUACUCCCAGCCUAGGGAGCGGGAGAGGCCGAGGGGAUUCCCGGAGUAGGGGGGAAAUCCUAUAAUCCCGGGAGGACCACCUGUGGCGAAGGCGCUCGGCUGGAACGCGUCCGACGGUGAGGGACGAAGGCCAGGGGAGCAAACCGGAUUAGAUACCCGGGUAGUCCUGGCUGUAAACGAUGCGGACUAGGUGUCGGGCAAGCUAAGGGCUUGUCCGGUGCCGCAGGGAAGCCGUUAAGUCCGCCGCCUGGGGAGUACGGCCGCAAGGCUGAAACUUAAAGGAAUUGGCGGG